GUUGGUCGUCACGCGGAAUUUGUGUGUCGUUCGAAGUUUUCGCCGACUAUCGGCCAUAUUUUCCUGGAACGGAUCGUCAUCGUCAUCGUGGUGUAGCUGUGUGAUGUUGCGCCAUUGUCCGUAGACAUCAGAUUGACCAUCCUGUGGCUGUAAAUAAAAAAAAACCUUUUAGAUGAUAGAAACGAUCGAUUCAACAACCAUCAUCACAAUCGUUAGCACCACCAUUAGGUGAAUGAAGUAACUGGCAGGUGGAGUGGUGACGCCAGAAUAUUUUACUUGGUGGAGCCAAUGGAAGGCAACAAAUUUUAAGUUUGUUUAUUAGUGUACUUGGAUUUUCAACAAUGGUAACAAUGAAAACAAAAGCAAAAAACCGAUUGAACUUGGAAUACGACAUAAGAUGUGCAUUGAUAGAAACUGAACCUAAUAUUAAAUCAAUUGAUAAAAAAAGCAAUA